rfam:Ornithorhynchus anatinus chromosome X1, whole genome shotgun sequence.
ACCUUCUCAGGGUCGCACCUGGAGAGUUUCCAGUAGUCUACCAGCCUUGAUUAUGGGAGGGAGAGUCAAGCAGAGGCAUAUCCAUUCCAUUCCUAGCUUGGCCAAUGGUUAGCGAGUGGAAGGCAAUCUGCUACAAGU